CCUACGGGAGGCAGCAGUGAGGAAUAUUGGUCAAUGGGCGGGAGCCUGAACCAGCCAAGCCGCGUGAGGGAAGGAGGUACAGCGUAUCGUAAACCUCUUUUGUCAGGGACGAAGCAAGUGACGGUACCUGACGAAUAAGCCACGGCUAACUACGUGCCAGCAGCCGCGGUAAUACGUAGGUGGCAAGCGUUAUCCGGAUUUACUGGGUGUAAAGGGCGUGUAGGCGGGGAAGCAAGUCAGAUGUGAAAACCACGGGCUCAACCUGUGGCCUGCAUAUGAAACUGUUUGUCUAGAGUGCUGGAGAGGCAAUCGGAAUUCCGGGUGUAGCGGUGAAAUGCGUAGAUAUACGGAGGAACACCAGUGGCGAAGGCGGAUUGCUGGACAGUAACUGACGCUGAGGCGCGAAAGCGUGGGGAGCAAACAGGAUUAGAUACCCUAGUAGUC
rnacentral:rRNA from 1 species